UAGGGAAUCUUCCGCAAUGGGCGAAAGCUUGACGGAGCAACGCCGCGUGAGUGAUGAAGGUCUUCGGAUCGUAAAACUCUGUUAUUAGGGAAGAACAAAUGUGUAAGUAACUAUGCACGUCUUGACGGUACCUAAUCAGAAAGCCACGGCUAACUACGUGCCAGCAGCCGCGGUAAUACGUAGGUGGCAAGCGUUAUCCGGAAUUAUUGGGCGUAAAGCGCGCGUAGGCGGUUUUUUAAGUCUGAUGUGAAAGCCCACGGCUCAACCGUGGAGGGUCAUUGGAUACUGGAAAACUUGAGUGCAGAAGAGGAAAGUGGAAUUCCAUGUGUAGCGGUGAAAUGCGCAGAGAUAUGGAGGAACACCAGUGGCGAAGGCGACUUUCUGGUCUGUAACUGACGCUGAUGUGCGAAAGCGUGGGGAUCAAACAGG
rnacentral:rRNA from 1 species